UACGUAGGGUGCGAGCGUUAAUCGGAAUUAUUGGGCGUAAAGAGCUCGUAGGCGGUUUGUCGCGUCUGCCGUGAAAGUCCGGGGCUCAACUCCGGAUCUGCGGUGGGUACGGGCAGACUAGAGUGAUGUAGGGGAGACUGGAAUUCCUGGUGUAGCGGUGAAAUGCGCAGAUAUCAGGAGGAACACCGAUGGCGAAGGCAGGUCUCUGGGCAUUAACUGACGCUGAGGAGCGAAAGCAUGGGGAGCGAACAGG
rnacentral:rRNA from 1 species